GGAGGUACCGUCAUCGGCACGGGUAUUAUCCGUACCUUAUUCUUCCCUCCCCACAGAGCUUUACAACCCGAGGGCCUUCAUCACUCACGCGGCGUCGCUGCGUCAGGCUUUCGCCCAUUGCGCAAAAUUCCCC
rnacentral:rRNA from 1 species